AGCUGCUUUUCAGCCAGGCUGCUGUGCUCUUGCUUCACUGUGGACCCUCUUGAUCCAGUGAGUAAACUUCAUAGCCUGAUCUCAAACCUGCCUCAUCACCAUGAACCUCUUGAUGAGCUGGAGCUUGGCUGGCCUGGACAUCAUCUGUGGGCUUUCCCUGCUUGCUUGCUCAGGUACUUGUGGGCUCCCCUCUGUCUCCUGUCCUUUAGGAAGCAUCCAGUUCUAUCUGCUGUGUCUGUAGCCAGGUUAAAGUCUCAAAGAGGACAUGAACUUACCAGCCUGAAGCCCACCCUGGAAUGCUUCUUCCCUGACCUGUUAUUGUGGCCAGGCAUUCUUAAGAGUGAGAAGUUUUGGCUCAGCUUGAAGAAGAGAAAAGGGAACAAAAACUGAAAAUCACUCAAGAGUGACAUAACUGGAAAUCAAAAAUCCAUCUCCUUUGUCACAGUGUGCUUGAGGAAUUACAUACCUCUGUAAUCUGAAAUGAUCAGCUACUCAGGCUAAGGCACACGUGGCAAUGGAUUUCUUCCUGCUUCUCCAAGAAUAUUGCUCAUCUGUAGUGGGCUAUUCCAUCCCCAUUAAAUUCUUAAUGCUGUUCUUCUCUUCAGAUGUUGAGACUUGACUAGACUAAACCAACUAUGACACUCGACUGAAAUCAGAGCAUCCUGGUUUUGUAAUGCUGCUUAUUUAAGGCUUGCAAAAGGCUGCAUAAGUAAUGCAGAAGUAGAUUUGGAAUUCUGAGGCUGC